rnacentral:rRNA from 1 species
GACGAACGCUGGCGGCGUGCUUAACACAUGCAAGUCGUACGGUAAGGCCCUUUCGGGGGUACACGAGUGGCGAACGGGUGAGUAACACGUGAGUAACCUGCCCACAACUUUGGGAUAACGCUAGGAAACUGGUGCUAAUACUGGAUAUGUGCUCCUGCUGCAUGGUGGGGGUUGGAAAGCUCCGGCGGUUGUGGAUGGACUCGCGGCCUAUCAGCUUGUUGGUGGGGUAGUGGCCUACCAAGGCGGCGACGGGUAGCCGGCCUGAGAGGGUGACCGGCCACAUUGAGACUGAGAUACGGCCCAGACUCCGACUGGAGGCAGCAGUGGGGAAGAUUGCACAAUGGGCGCCAGCCUGAUGCAGAAACGCCGCGUGCGGGAUGACGGCCUUCGGGUUGUAAACCGCUUUCAGCAGGGACGAAGCUUUUUGUGACGGUACCUGCAGAAGAAGCACCGGCUAACUACGUG